ACUCAAAGGAAUUGACGGGGACCCGCACAAGCGGUGGAUGAUGUGGUUUAAUUCGAUGCAACGCGAAAAACCUUACCUACCCUUGACAUGUCUAGAACUUGCCAGAGAUGGCUUGGUGCUCGAAAGAGAGCUAGAACACAGGUGCUGCAUGGCCGUCGUCAGCUCGUGUCGUGAGAUGUUGGGUUAAGUCCCGCAACGAGCGCAACCCUUAUCAUUAGUUGCUACGCAAGGGCACUCUAAUGAGACUGCCGGUGACAAACCGGAGGAAGGUGGGGAUGACGUCAGGUCAUCAUGGCCCUUAUGGGUAGGGCUACACACGUCAUACAAUGGCCGGUACAGAGGGCUGCCAACCCGCGAGGGGGAGCUAAUCUCAGAAAACCGGUCGUAGUCCGGAUCGCAGUCUGCAACUCGACUGCGUGAAGUCGGAAUCGCUAGUAAUCGCGGAUCAGCUUGCCGCGGUGAAUACGUUCCCGGGUCUUGUACACACCGCCCGU
rnacentral:rRNA from 1 species